GAUGAACGCUGGCGGCGUGCUUAACACAUGCAAGUCGAACGAUGAAGCCCAGCUUGCUGGGUGGAUUAGUGGCGAACGGGUGAGUAACACGUGAGUAACCUGCCCUUGACUCUGGGAUAAGCCUGGGAAACUGGGUCUAAUACUGGAUAUGACUUCUCAUCGCAUGGUGGGGGGUGGAAAGAUUUAUUGGUCUUGGAUGGACUCGCGGCCUAUCAGCUUGUUGGUGAGGUAAUGGCUCACCAAGGCGACGACGGGUAGCCGGCCUGAGAGGGUGACCGGCCACACUGGGACUGAGACACGGCCCAGACUCCUACGGGAGGCAGCAGUGGGGAAUAUUGCACAAUGGGCGCAAGCCUGAUGCAGCGACGCCGCGUGAGGGAUGACGGCCUUCGGGUUGUAAACCUCUUUCAGUAGGGAAGAAGCGAGAGUGACGGUAUCUGCAGAAGAAGCGCCGGCUAACUACGUG
rnacentral:rRNA from 1 species